rnacentral:lncRNA from 1 species
AAUCGGCCGAAACGACGUCGAAUUGGGGGGAAAACGACGCGAUGUUUGGCGUUAAAACCCUAAAUCGAUUGCUAAGGAAGCCAUAUCUGUACACUUCCUUGCGAUUCGAGCAGAAUUUUCCGUGAAUUACAGGUCCGAGCGUUUCGAUCGCCGGCAUUUGAAAACCCUAUGAAAUGGAAAGAAAAAAACCUGAGAGAGGGAGAGAGCAGAACAGAAAGAAGAAGGUUGAGGGAGAAGUGGGAGGAUGAGCUUGGGCCGUCCGAUUAAGCGAUUGAGUGGUCCGAACCGUUGGCUCAACUUCGCUUGUCUUUUUUCGUGUUAUCCUGUUUGUCAGGUGAUAUGGUCUGGCAUAAUAAGCACGUGCGACAUAUAUCGUUUAGGGUGGGAUU